AACUCAGUUGUCACAUCAGAUGAUGAAAUGAAAUUUUUUAUUCCCUGCCUAAAUCUUCCAUCUGGUAGCAAUAGCUCUACAGUGCUGGCAUUUAUCAAGAGAAGACACACAGCACAGCCUUGCAUAAAUAAUGGCACUGGGCCAAGUACAGCUGAGGUGGUUGCCAGCACAACUCCAUUGAAGUCAAAGGAAUUGCACCAUGGGUGUUUUCUUCUGGCCCAUGUUGCCCUUUCCCUUCGAGAGUACAAAGGCGUG